UACAGAGGAGCCAAGCGUUGUCCGGAUUGACUGGGCGUAAAGCGCACGCAGGCGGUUGCGCGCGUGGGGUGUGAAAUCUGGCCGCUUAACGGCCAGGCGCCAUCCCAUACGGCGCGACUGGAGGGCGUGCGAGAGGUCGAUGGAAUUGCCGGUGUAGUGGUGAAAUGCGUAGAGACUCGGCAGGAACACCCAGGGGGAAACCAGUC
rnacentral:rRNA from 1 species